rnacentral:snRNA from 1 species
GGCUGUGAGGGCGGCCAGGCUGGACUGUCUAUCACACCAUGAUUUCCAGGGUUCAUUCGGCUGUUCUGGCUGGCUAGCCAGGUGCAUCCUUCCCCCUUUACUGCUGCACUGUGUCCAGAAGCUGGGCUUCCGGUCCCAAAGGGUGACCGUCUCUGAUAGAGAAGGACCAUUCUUUGGUCAAGGGCAUACAAAUAGCUGCAUUCCCCUUUUAGAACCUCCAGACAGGCUCUCAAGAACAAGCCUGUCUCUUUUGUUAAAUAUCUUUACAAAAUACUCCAU